rnacentral:rRNA from 1 species
CGUCUAGUACAUGCCGAAAUAAGGCGAAACCGCGAAUGGCUCAUUAAAUCAGUUAUGGUUCCUUAGAUCGUUUCUUCCUACUUGGAUAACUGUGGCAAUUCUAGAGCUAAUACAUGCAGUGAGCCUGGAGCCCUUUGGGUAACGGGUGCUUUUAUUAGACCAAGAUCGAUCGGGUUUCGGCCCGUAUUGUGUGGUGACUCUGGAUAACUUUGUGCUGAUCGCAUGGCCACGAGCCGGCGACGUUUCUUUCAAGUGUCUGCCUUAUCAACUUUCGAUGGUAGGUUACUUGCUUACCAUGGUUGUUACGGGUAACGGAGAAUCAGGGUUCGAUUCCGGAGAGGGAGCCUGAGAAACGGCUACCACAUCCAAGGAAGGCAGCAGGCGCGCAAAUUACCCACUCCCGGCACGGGGAGGUAGUGACGAAAAAUAACAAUACGGGACUCUUUUGAGGCCCCGUAAUUGAAAUGAGUACACUCUAAAUCCUUUAACGAGGAUCAAUUGGAGGGCAAGUCUGGCCCCGCAGCCA